rnacentral:rRNA from 1 species
GUGUCAGCAGCCGCGGUAAUACGGAGGGUGCAAGCGUUAUCCGGAUUCACUGGGUUUAAAGGGUGCGUAGGCGGGUUGGUAAGUCAGUGGUGAAAUCCCCGAGCUUAACUUGGGAACUGCCAUUGAUACUAUUAAUCUUGAAUACCGUGGAGGUCGACGGAAUACGUCAUGUAGCGGUGAAAUGCUUAGAUAUGACAUAGAACACCAAUUGCGAAGGCAGUUGACUACGCGAGUAUUGACGCUGAGGCACGAAAGCGUGGGGAUCAAACAGGAUUAGAAACCCUCGUAGUCC